GACAUAGGUGGCGAACGUUAUCCGGAAUUAUUGGGCGUAAAGGGUGCGUAGGUGGCCUGACAAGUUAUUAGUGGUAAAUCGAGGCUCAACUUCGUGGAAACUUGUAAUACUGUCCGGCUUGAGUACAGGAGAGGUUAACGGAACUCUAUGUGGAGCGGUAAAAUGCACAGAUAUAUAGAAGAACAUCAAUAACGGCGAAGGCAGUUAACUAUUCUGUUACUGACACUGAGGCACGAAAGCGUGGGGAGCAAAACGG
rnacentral:rRNA from 1 species